UGAAAGUAACCUUUGCCAGUUGUGUAAGUGGCCCUUUUCUUGAGAAACAUUGCAUAAGGUCGCCUAGUUCUUGGUGCAAGUUUGGUUGUGGCAGUCUAUUGAGUUCAAAUCGCUGGAGAAUCUCCUUCCAUAUCCAUUUUGUAUAAUUACAAGCAAAAUAAAGGUGGUCAACAGUUUCUUCUUGUUGCAAACAAAGGGAGCAUCGGUUAACAUGAUAGAUACCUCUU
rnacentral:lncRNA from 1 species